AUUAGAUAUAUAUGGGUUUUUGAAGUGCUGUGAACAUAACCUCCUACCUGUAUUUAUGCUUGGGUUUUCUCUCAGAUGAUAGAAAAUGUACUCCAAACUAUGGCAAGGACUAAAGUUUGCUGGGAAAAGGGAUGGAAUUGAAAGUGAAAUUCUGCUCUCAAAUUUAGACAAAAAAGCAUGAGAGAAAAUCUAUCGUCUGAAGAAAUCUUUCAGUGUCUGGAUUCUGGAACAGACAAGAAUGGCUCCCUGAAGAUAGAAAGGCAGUAAUAGGAAUUUGACUUUUGCUGCAGCUACUAAAGAUGGAAUGCCUCUUGCUUCACCUGUGACCGUACAGGGAUGCUAUACAAGACUGUGUUGGGUGUUUGCUAAAGCCAGGGAUAGACCUGUUGAUCCUGCUACUCUACUUCAUAUAACUCACUCCCACCUCUUAAAAUCUUUGACCACCACCACUGCACAGUGAAACUGUCUGGGGUGUGGGGAUUGCAACGUGAAAACUAUACGGAAAACAACUAAUGAAGGAAAUCUAACAACUUCAAGAGGAACUUGGUAGGUAUAAAAAGAAUUAGAACAUACAGAGAAACUGCAAUGACAAUGAUAUAAGUUAAAUAGGUUUAACUAAUCAGUUAAAAUAGAUAUUUCCCAUGAAUGUUGAAGAAA
rnacentral:lncRNA from 1 species